UGAGGAUGAAAGGGAGAGAAAGGAGUCUAAGGCGCAUGAUCUGCAGGAAAUGUUAAAGAGCCGAGACUAUUUUACACCGUCGACUUGAGCACCACGAGUAACUGUUUUGGAAUUCUUUGUUACUUUGUUGUUUUCGGGCCUGUAAGAGAUGAGUCAAUGGUCCUUUUAUGCCUUAGAGGUCACAUAUACGCAGGUGUCUUCCUCCUCCUCUUCUUCUUCCUCCUCCUGUCGUCGUCUCACAACCACGAGUUUCUGUUUUGGAAUUCUUUGUUACUUUGUUGUUUUCUGGCCUGUAAGAGAUGAGUCAAUGGUCCUUUUAUGCCUUAGAGGUCACAUAUGCGUAGGUGUCUUCCUCCUCCUCCUCCUCUUCCUCCUCCUCUUCUUCUUCCUCCUCAUGUUCGUUGCUUCCAGGCCGAUAAGAUUAGAUAAGGUCUGUUUUUUUUGGCUUAUAGAUAACAAAUACGUAGUUCUCCUCCCUCCUUCUUCCUCUUCUUCCUCUUCUUCGUCCUCCCGCGAUGGCGCAAGAGAAAGGAGGAGGAGGAGGAGGAGGAGGAGGAGGAAGAACAAGUGAAGGUCGCAAAAUGGUCGCCGUAUCCGUUUUCUUUCCUUAUAAUUUCUUCGUCCACUUUCCUUUUCCAUCGACAUGCAAUGCGUGUUAUGUAUCGACGCUAAUAACACACACACACACACUAACACACACACACACACACUAACACACACACACACACACACACACACACACACAGGCACACCCACUUUCCCACUCUCUCACUCUCUCCGUUUUCCCUCUCACUCUCGUCAUCAAAAUAUGGCAACUAGAACCCCUUUUCAUGCUUUAUUUUUGUAUCUUUAUCUUGCUUUCGUGUCCUCUAUCUUUCCUUAGCUCUCCAGAUCACCAAGACGCUAUAGAACACUUCACCAAGCACCCAGAAUCACCAUAAACACACACGUACGAGUUCCAGUUCUUCAAUAUGGCCCAGGAAUCGCUUUUUCAUGGACAGCCUUCACUUUUCAUCUUCUUUUCCUUCCCUCUCCAGGUCACCAAGACGCUAUAGAACACUUCACCAAGCAUUCAGGAUCACCAGUCAAC